UGACCAUUUUGGAUUGGAGAGCGAUCGAUUAAUUCAUUCAAAAGUGGCUCAUGUUUAUCUAAAGUAAUUUUAUUUAAAAAAUACUUUGAGAAAGUUCAAUUAAUACAUAAGUUGAAACGAUGUCAUUGAAUAUCUUAUUUAUCCCGGAUAUACAAAUUCUACAAUCAUAUUUGUACAGGUUACAGCGUAGUAUAGUCAAUUGUCAAAUAUACGCGCAAUGAGAUAUCAGAGUAUGUAUAUAAAGUCCCGUUUUUCUUUAGCAUGUAGGCUAUGUAACGUCGGGCAGUUAGCCUAACCAGUGGCCGGUACAAAGCUGUUUUACGCAAGUGUAACUAUGGUUCAUUAAUGUAUAAUAACGGGAGGCUACGUUAAACAUAUACGGAAUCUAUAUGUGGUUCACAAAGUGUGUACUAUAUGCAUGGAUAGAGAGUUGGUUUACUCCUCUGUACCUGUGCACUUUGGACACAGGAAGGAGUCACCUCUUCUAAUAACCCUGACUGGGGAACAGAAUCCAAGGUGUACCCAGCCAUUGCAUUUAUCACAGCAUGCCCAAGAGACAAUAGUUAGACUGAUGCAAUUCUUGAGCUCCUCAGGAUGGAUUUUUUGACAAAUGUAGCACACAUCAGUGUCAUCUUCAGAUUCAGAAGAGGACGAGUAUUCUGUCUGGGCUGCCUGAAUACCAGAUGUACUCGGAAUGGGUUCAGUAACGGAAGAGCCUUGCAUCAGUAUUGCAGUCAUCAACAGCAAGGGCCUGUUCUUGUUCAUGGUUCUCUGUGGUAUCAGGUGCUGGUCUAAAAACUGAAGCAGGUGCAAGAGCAGAAUCUGGCACUACAUUUGGGUUAAAUGGAUAUACCCCACAAUGUUUGAAGGCGGACUGGAUGUUACUUGCAGAAAGAAAAGAAGUGUAUGCCUUACAGCAAAUCUUGCACACAUCAAAUCUGGUAAUCAAACAACCUCCAGACUGUCGAAGGUGUUGAUGACAGGCAUGAUUCCAGGAUUUUUUCAAAAGGCCCGUAACAACUUACGUCCAGAGGCUGUAGUAAAUGGCUACAGUGAGGGGGGAGAACAAACAAAACAAUACCAUUCUUCUGUGCCCACUCAAUCAGCCCCAAGAAAACAUGACUUCUGUGACCAUCAUACAAUACGAGCACCUUACAACCGUCAGCCCGAGAGGGUAGGUGUGGCUCUAGAUGCUCUGUCAUAUACUUUCUGAACACUUCAAUGUUAGACCACCCAGAUUCUGAUACUGUUCCAGACGUGCCAGAAGUACAGCCUUCAAGUAGACCUGGAAGCAUCCUUACACCAGGAAAUACGAAAAAGGGAGGUGAUCAAUAAAACAACAUGAACAUUGUUUUAUCAUUUUAUAUGAUAUUUAUAUCUUUUUUAUAGACAGAUUACCUAAUUAUAACCAGUCAGUUAUAGAUUAAUUACCUAACUAUUAUCAGUCAGUUAUAUUAAGAAUUUAGUAUUGCAACAACUACAUUUUUUGCAUCUAACAAAUUGUUUGGAAAAAUUAUACAUAAUACAAAUUAAAAAAAAUCUAUGUAUAUAUGAUUGUAUAUUUCAUGUAUGUUAACUAUAAAUAACAGUAUGCAU